GGGCCCGUAGCCUAGCCAGGAUAGGGCGCCGGCCUGCGGAGCCGGAGAUCCCGGGUUCAAAUCCCGGCGGGCCCG
rnacentral:tRNA from 1 species